GCGAGUCAUUGUAGCAAUACAAGGCGGACGGCUCAGUAACACGUAGUCAACCUAACUCGUGGACGUGGAUAACCUCGGGAAACUGAGAAUAAACCACGAUAGAUCAUAGUGCCUGGAAUGGCUUAUGGUCCAAACAGUUUACUGCCAUGGGAUGGGACUGCGGCCUAUCAGCUUGUUGGUGAGGUAAUGGCCCACCAAGGCGAUUACAGGUACGGGCUCUGAGAGGAGAAGCCCGGAGAUGGGUACUGAGACACGGACCCAGGCCCUAUGGGGCGCAGCAGGCGAGAAACCUUAGCAAUGUGCGAAAGCACGACUGGGUCAGUCCGAGUGAUUCCUGAUAAAGGAGUCUUUUGCUUGUCCUAAAAGCACAGGUGAAUAAGGGGUGGGCAAGUCUGGUGUCAGCCGCCGCGGUAAUACCAGCACCUCGAGUGGUCAGGACGUUUAUUGGGCCUAAAGCAUCCGUAGCCGGCUCUGCAAGUCUUCGGUUAAAUCCACCUGCUCAACAGAUGGGCUGCUGGAGAUACUACAGAGCUAGGGAGUGGGAGAGGCAGACGGUAUUCAGUGGGUAGGGGUAAAAUCCUCUGAUCCAUUGAGGACCACCAGUGGCGAAGGCGGUCUGCCAGAACACGUUCGACGGUGAGGGAUGAAAGCUGGGGGAGCAAACCGGAUUAGAUACCCGGGUAGUCCCAGCUGUAAACGAUGCAAACUCGGUGAUGCA
rnacentral:rRNA from 1 species